UCCUUGAUGGUCCAGUAGUUAGGACUUGGCACUUACAAUGCUGUGGGCCCAGGUUCAAUCCCUUGUUGGGGAA